GACAGAGGGUGCAAACGUUGUUCGGAAUUACUGGGCGUAAAGCGCAUGUAGGCGGCCAAGCAGGUCGGAUGUGAAAUCCCCGGGCUUAACCUGGGAAUGGCAUUCGGGACUGCAAGGCUGGAGUGCGGCAGAGGAGACUGGAAUUCCUGGUGUAGCAGUGAAAUGCGUAGAUAUCAGGAGGAACACCGAUGGCGAAGGCAGGUCUCUGGGCUGACACUGACGCUCAUGCACGAAAGCGUGGGGAGCAAACAGG
rnacentral:rRNA from 1 species